CGAGUCCUCAACUGACGCUAAUGCUCGAAAGUGCGGGUAUCGAACAGGAUUAGAUACCCUGGUAGUCCGCACGGUAAACGAUGGAUGCCCGCUGUUGGCGACACACUGUCAGCGGCCAAGCGAAAGCGUUAAGCAUCCCACCUGGGGAGUACGCCGGCAACGGUGAAACUCAAAGGAAUUGACGGGGGCCCGCACAAGCGGAGGAACAUGUGGUUUAAUUCGAUGAUACGCGAGGAACCUUACCCGGGCUUGAACUGCAGCAGAACGAUAGAGAGAUCUUGAGGCCCUUCGGGGCUGCUGUGGAGGUGCUGCAUGGUUGUCGUCAGCUCGUGCCGUGAGGUGUCGGCUUAAGUGCCAUAACGAGCGCAACCCCUUUCAUCAGUUGCCAUCAGGUGAUGCUGGGCACUCUGGUGAUACUGCCACCGUAAGGUGUGAGGAAGGUGGGGAUGACGUCAAAUCAGCACGGCCCUUACGUCCGGGGCUACACACGUGUUACAAUGGGUGGUACAGAGAGUCAACCGCCGGCAACGUCGGUUUAAUCAAUAAAGCCAUCCUCAGUUCGGAUUGGGGUCUGCAACCCGACCCCAUGAAGCUGGAUCGC
rnacentral:rRNA from 1 species